UGUAUUGAAAUAGCUUGACGUG
rnacentral:miRNA from 1 species